GGACUGUUUGGUCUGGAGAAGAGGAGGCUGAAGGCAGUGAUACUUUGUGGACAAGCCAGUAUCUGGUGACAGAGAUCAUGGGUGGAGUACUACUGCAAGGGCCCCUGAAAGCUUCAUCUUCCUUUGGAGGAGACAUAUAUCAAAACACAGUGCUCAAUAAAAGGAACAAUUACAUCUAGAUGCUCUGGAAAAAGAUGUGAAGAAUU